AACGAACGCUGGCGGCAGGCCUAACACAUGCAAGUCGAACGCCCCGCAAGGGGAGUGGCAGACGGGUGAGUAACACGUGGGAACGUGCCCUAAGGUUUGGAAUAUUCCCGGGAAACUGGGAGCAAUACCAAAUGUGUCCGUAAGGAGAAAGAUUUACCGCCUUAGGAUCGGCCCGCGUCAGAUUAGGUAGUUGGUGGGGUAAUGGCCUACCAAGCCGACGAUCUGUAGCUGGUCUGAGAGGACGACCAGCCACACUGGGACUGAGACACGGCCCAGACUCCUACGGGAGGCAGCAGGGGGGAAUCUUGGACAAUGGGCGCAAGCCUGAUCCAGCCAUGCCGCGUGGAUGAUGAAGGCCCUAGGGUUGUAAAAUCCUUUCGUUGGGGACGAUAAUGACGGUACCCAAAGAAGAAGCUCCGGCUAACUUCGUGCCAGCAGCCGCAGUAACAC
rnacentral:rRNA from 1 species